GUGAUGUCUCACAUCGUGAAAGUGGUUGAGACUUUUCAUUUGAAAUCAUAGCUUGAAAGUGAUGACCAUCUGAUCAUGAUUGGGAUGAUUCUCUCGAAUUGUUAGAGGCUAGAGCUUCCAUUUCGACCGUGCAGUCUUCUCUCUGCCAAAGAGUUUUCACUCGUUGACGCCUUUCUCUUCUACAAUUUGUAGCAUUUACUUAUUUAGGAACAUUUGAUGGUGAUCGGGAGUGUGAUCUCUGAUAACUGUGAUAACUUUGAAAUUCUCCAUCCAAGCUUGGAGGCGAUGGAAUUCAAGGUCUUCCAUUAUUUCCAUAUCCAUAACGUCUUCAACAACCUUCAUCCGCACUGCGAUCCAUUCGUACACCAAAUCAAUCAUAUUUAUCUCAUCUCCCCCAAAGAACUCACUGCCGUUUGAGGCCUCGCUCCUCAAUCGCGAAACAAGCUAUGGCUCUGUUGUAAGGUUCCGAUGGCAACAAAUGGAUUCGCAGAUAGGGUUUCCGGCGUGGACGAGCACCGGAAUGUUCUUGUAGAGGGGAUUGUAACGUAGGAGCAAAGGGGUUUUGUUGGUCAAACUCAAAGAUAAAUAUAGCACUUUAACCUCUUUUAAUUGGAACAAAAAUUAUUAGCUUCCAAUGAAAAUUUAUUGACAGUAAUUCAAAUUA